CCACCCACUCCCCCCCCCCCCUCCCACCUCCCCCAUCCCCUUUCUCCCAACACCCUCAAACCGCCAUCGCCUCCACACCACCGUCGCCGCCCCCUAUUUUCCCCGACUCCACCGCCUCCAAGCCAGCGUCGCCGCCGUCGCUCUCCCUCCCCGCUUUUCCCCCACGUCGUCCAACCGUCACAGCCUCCACGCCGUCGUCGCUACCCCCCACUUUCCCCGACUCCACCACCUCCACACCGGCGUCGCCGCAUCGGGAGAAGGAGGCCUCCGCGCUACGGAUUGCGGAGACGCCGCGGUCUUCUCCCUCCCGCAUGGUCCCUCCAUCACCGCCUCCACGACGCCGCUUCCGUGGGAGCAGGGGAACGCCGUUGCCUUCUCCCUCUCCCGCGCGGUCCUCCCCAUCAACGCCAUUUUGCCGGCUCCACGCCGCCCGUACACCGAUCUGGAUCUCCACCGUCCAGGCCGCCGCCACCUCCGCCGGUCACUACUGCCCCUCUAUAGCUCGUGAUCUGCCUUCAUCUGAGACAAUCUCCCCCAAAAAUCCAGCUCAAAGGGAAGUGGUAUCAUAGGAGCUAUGACGAUUUAGGGAAAUCCACGGCGCGCAGUUGUAAGUUUAUUUGGAGAAGUGGACAUUACCAAAGACCAAGAGAAAGGUAACUUUCUAAUUUCUAUAUACAAAAAGAAGUGAUCUUACCAUCUGUGUUAGGUGCACAGGGUAAAGUGGUUUAUGCCCUACUGAUUUGAUUUAUCAGUAUAGCGAGUCAAGACGCAGAAUUAUAUCAUGUUAGAUGUAUAAUUAUGAAGUGCAUGUGAAUUUGGGUCUGUUUGCUGUCCCUGUGCACCACCUUGAUGUCUCUUUGCCGGACGCUUGCAUUGAAAAUUAAGGGAAUCAAUUGAAUCCAUUGUACUAAUGCAAGUGAUAUGUAGAGACUUGUUUCUAUGUUAGAUAGUAUGAUUUCAUUUAUGUAUUUAGGGGAAAUGUUUUUAAGUUUGCUCUGAACUGCAAACAUUUUUAUGUACUAACACAGUUUGCUUGAGUGGGCUGACGCUAUUUCGAAUGAUGUUCAGUUUCUCACAGAUUCCAUUGCUGUUUACAUUUUGUAUUUUUCUUCUAUCAAACCAGAUCAAGCUGUAGAAGAAACAAAGUAACACAGAUUUUUUUUUCAGCAA